CCUACGGGUGGCAGCAGUGAGGAAUAUUGGUCAAUGGGCGCGAGCCUGAACCAGCCAAGUCGCGUGAGGGAAGACGGCCCUACGGGUUGUAAACCUCUUUUGCCGGGGAGCAACGUGCGCCACGUGUGGCGCCACUGAUAGUCCCCGGCGAAAAAGCAUCGGCUAACUCCGUCCCAGCAGCCGCGGUAUUCCGGAGGAGGCGAGCGGUAUCCGGAUUUAUUGGGUUUAAAGGGUGCGUAGGCGGAGCGUUCAUUCAGUGGUCAAAUUGAGGGGCUCAACCCCUUCCCGCCAUUGAAACUGGCGCUCUUGAGUGGAAGAGAAGUAUGCGGAAUGCGUGGUGUAGCGGUGAAAUGCAUAGAUAUCACGCAGAACCCCGAUUGCGAAGGCAGCAUACCGGCUUCCGACUGACGCUGAAGCACGAAAGCGUGGGGAUCGAACAGGAUUAGAUACCCGGGUAGUC
rnacentral:rRNA from 1 species